rnacentral:rRNA from 1 species
GACGAACGCUGGCGGCGUGCUUAACACAUGCAAGUCGAGCGGUAAGGCCACUUCGGGGGUCCACGAGCGGCGAACGGGGGAGUAACACGAGGGUGACCUGCCCCCAGCUCUGGGAUAAGCAUGGGAAACUGGGACCAAUACCGGUAACGACCAUUCUUCGCAUGGGGAUGGGUGGAAAGUGUUUUCGGCUGGGGAUGGGACCGCGGGCUCUCAGCGUGGUGGUGGGGCGAUGGCCUACGAAGGCGGCGACGGGAAGCCGGCCUGCGGGGGCGACCGGCCACCCUGUGACUGAGGCACGGCCCGGGCUCCUACGGGAGGCGGCGGUGGGGUAUCGUGCGCAAGGGGCGUGAGCCAGGCGCGGCGACGCCGCGUGGGGGUUGGCUGCCUCCGGGGUGCAAACCUCUUUCGACCCCGACGAAUUUGGACGGUAGGGGAAGAAGAAGCACCGGCUAACUACGUG